CUCCAGUUUUACAGACGAUAAAACUGAGGUUCAGAGAUGCUACAUGACUUACUUGUGAUCACAAAGCUAGUCAACAUUGAAUGCAGAAACUGGAAGAUCCAACACGUCACAUGAGGAGGUCCCUCGUGCAAAUGUCUGCUAGGGAAGGCUCUUUCCUCUUCCUGCGUCUUUCACCUCUCUUCUAUGGCAUCCUUUGAGCAAAAGAUACCAUGAAGGAAAUGUAUGAUCAGAAAAGAAGGUGAGGAACUUGAGGCCUACUGAGGUUAAGUGACUGACCCAGAAUCACACAGCUACUAAGUGUCUAAGGCUAGGAUUUGAACCCGGGUCUCCCCACUGCCCUAGCCACUACAUCAUGCAGCCUCUCACAAAAAUCUUCAUCAUCCUACAAUUAACGGGGUUCUCGCUCAUCAGCAAUGAGCCUAGGAGAUGGUGUGAGAGGUAGAGAGAAGCAGAUAGGCUGAGCCAAGGAAAGUCUUGCCUUCCUGGAUAACAUGGCCCCAGCAGGUCCUUCCUAGAGACCCAGCCCCAAUCACCUCUCUAGCAGCAGCAUUACUUCUUUAACAGCAACAUUGUUGGCAGCAGCAUUUCUGUUGGCAGCAGCCCUUGCCACAGCCACAGCAGCCACAGCCACCACAGCCACCCCCACAGGAGCCACAGGAGCCACAGCCACAGGAACGGCAGGAGCGGCGGCAGCGGACGACCACCACGGGUCUGCAGCAGCCACAGCAGCAGGGGCAGCAGGCAGAACAGCAGCCCCCACGGUAGCCACCAGAGCCACCGCCGUAGCCACCAAGGCCACUGCCAUAGCCACCAGGGCCACUGCCAAAGCCACCUGAGCCAACGCCGUAGCCUCCAUAGCCACCACGGCCACCAUAGCUGCUGCCGUAGCCACCAGAGCCACCACCGUAGCCACCAGAGCCACCACCGCCACCAUACCUGCCACCUCCACAGCCACAGCAAACCAUAGUGUCAGUACAGAGUGUUCAGGUGAGGUGAGGAGAGAGAGGACUCAAGAGAGGUGAGUGAAGUCUGAUGGUCUCCUUCUGCAGGGCAGCCCUUAUAUACUCUAGUAGCUGGGGUUGACCCAAUAUGUCGCAAGACACUUUCUUGUUGUUGUUUAUCUCAGUUUCCAUGACAGACCUUUCCUCAGUCUCUUGUUUUCUUCUUCAGUACGAUGCUUUGGCAACUUGGAUACUAUGGCCUCAUAGCUCCUUGACCUCCUCAAUCCCUAUUCCUUCUUUUCUUGACUCUAUUUCAGCUAGUCCCACCCCUUCCCCAAAUAUUCAUACUUUAGCCCUCACCAUUGCACAAAACUCCUCCAUCACCAUGCAAGAUGGUGAGUUCUGAGGUGCCCUUAUCUCAGCACAAUGUCCUGUUCCAUCUUUCCCAUUCUCCUAAUGAGGCUACUUUUUUCAGUCAAGACUAUCUUGACCCUUCCUAGAUGAAUUGAUAAUUCAUUUAUGAAAUUAUGAACUAGAGCAGGCACACCCAGGUCUUUGGGUAUGAGCUGUGAAAGACUUCUAUGAUGAGGAGAAGUGAGGCAGCAAUUCCAUUUUAAUAAGGUACAGAGGGUGUGGGCACAAAAACACAUAAGUUACAUAAAGAAACAGUAAAAGGAUGUGCAGAGGCAGAUGGCAUAGGGGUAGAGGAUGGGAUGGAGAAGGAAGGUGAGCAGCAUGGAAAAGAGAAUUAGGAGGGGGAGAGGCACAGAGAAUCACCCAUGUAACAACGGAUUCGAUUUGGAAGCACUUGGCAGAAUGGACCCAAUGGAGAGGGAAGCAUAUUUGGGGGCAGGAGUUUGAGGUCUCAUUUUAUGGGGUUUAGGGGAGGAAAAGACUAACCCUUCUCUGUGCCUCCUAGGGGGUUAGUUCAUUAAUACUUCAAAUCAUCUCAAAGGUUCAGUAAAACUUUCAAGUGAACACAUCCAUAUCAUGUCAGAGUUAUCAGUACAAUCUUUGCUGGUUUUACUACAAAUGUCUAAAACUUAUUUGAGAUUUGCUUAUCACAGGACCAAAAAUCUCCGACAGCAAGAUGGCUUCCCCUGAUUUGACACAUGUUACCAAGAUGUGAUUUUUGGUUAAUGUGUGAUCCAGUUUUUUUACAGACGAUAAAACUGAGGUUCAGAGAUGCUACAUGACUUACUUGUGAUCACAAAGCUAGUCAACAUUGAAUGCAGAAACUGGAAGAUCCAACACGUCACAUGAGGAGGUCCCUCGUGCAAAUGUCUGCUAGGGAAGGCUCUUUCCUCUUCCUGCGUCUUUCACCUCUCUUCUAUGGCAUCCUUUGAGCAAAAGAUACCAUGAAGGAAAUGUAUGAUCAGAAAAGAAGGUGAGGAACUUGAGGCCUACUGAGGUUAAGUGACUGACCCAGAAUCACACAGCUACUAAGUGUCUAAGGCUAGGAUUUGAACCCGGGUCUCCCCACUGCCCUAGCCACUACAUCAUGCAGCCUCUCACAAAAAUCUUCAUCAUCCUACAAUUAACGGGGUUCUCGCUCAUCAGCAAUGAGCCUAGGAGAUGGUGUGAGAGGUAGAGAGAAGCAGAUAGGCUGAGCCAAGGAAAGUCUUGCCUUCCUGGAUAACAUGGCCCCAGCAGGUCCUUCCUAGAGACCCAGCCCCAAUCACCUCUCUAGCAGCAGCAUUACUUCUUUAACAGCAACAUUGUUGGCAGCAGCAUUUCUGUUGGCAGCAGCCCUUGCCACAGCCACAGCAGCCACAGCCACCACAGCCACCCCCACAGGAGCCACAGGAGCCACAGCCACAGGAACGGCAGGAGCGGCGGCAGCGGACGACCACCACGGGUCUGCAGCAGCCACAGCAGCAGGGGCAGCAGGCAGAACAGCAGCCCCCACGGUAGCCACCAGAGCCACCGCCGUAGCCACCAAGGCCACUGCCAUAGCCACCAGGGCCACUGCCAAAGCCACCUGAGCCAACGCCGUAGCCUCCAUAGCCACCACGGCCACCAUAGCUGCUGCCGUAGCCACCAGAGCCACCACCGCCACCAUACCUGCCACCUCCACAGCCACAGCAAACCAUAGUGUCAGUACAGAGGGUUCAGGUGAGGUGAGGAGAGAGAGGACUCAAGAGAGGUGAGUGAAGUCUGAUGGUCUCCUUCUGCAGGGCAGCCCUUAUAUACUCUAGUAGCUGGGGUUGACCCAAUAUGUCGCAAGACACUUUCUUGUUGUUGUUUAUCUCAGUUUCCAUGACAGACCUUUCCUCAGUCUCUUGUUUUCUUCUUCAGUACGAUGCUUUGGCAACUUGGAUACUAUGGCCUCAUAGCUCCUUGACCUCCUCAAUCCCUAUUCCUUCUUUUCUUGACUCUAUUUCAGCUAGUCCCACCCCUUCCCCAAAUAUUCAUACUUUAGCCCUCACCAUUGCCCAAAACUCCUCCAUCACCAUGCAAGAUGGUGAGUUCUGAGGUGCCCUUAUCUCAGCACAAUGUCCUGUUCCAUCUUUCCCAUUCUCCUAAUGAGGCUACUUUUUUCAGUCAAGACUAUCUUGACCCUUCCUAGAUGAAUUGAUAAUUCAUUUAUGAAAUUAUGAACUAGAGCAGGCACACCCAGGUCUUUGGGUAUGAGCUGUGAAAGACCGCUAUGAUGAGGAGAAGUGAGGCAGCAAUUCCAUUUUAAUAAGGUACAGAGGGUGUGGGCACAAAAACACAUAAGUUACAUAAAGAAACAGUAAAAGGAUGUGCAGAGGCAGAUGGCAUAGGGGUAGAGGAUGGGAUGGAGAAGGAAGGUGAGCAGCAUGGAAAAGAGAAUUAGGAGGGGGAGAGGCACAGAGAAUCACCCAUGUAACAACGGAUUCGAUUUGGAAGCACUUGGCAGAAUGGACCCAAUGGAGAGGGAAGCAUAUUUGGGGGCAGGAGUUUGAGGUCUCAUUUUAUGGGGUUUAGGGGAGGAAAAGACUAACCCUUCUCUGUGCCUCCUAGGGGGUUAGUUCAUUAAUACUUCAAAUCAUCUCAAAGGUUCAGUAAAACUUUCAAGUGAACACAUCCAUAUCAUGUCAGAGUUAUCAGUACAAUCUUUGCUGGUUUUACUACAAAUGUCUAAAACUUAUUUGAGAUUUGCUUAUCACAGGACCAAAAAUCUCCGACAGCAAGAUGGCUUCCCCUGAUUUGACACAUGUUACCAAGAUGUGAUUUUUGGUUAAUGUGUGAUCCAGUUUUCAAUCUCAACAAUAUACCUUCCUCAAUCCUGAAGUUCUUUGUGUGCCUCUGGGCAUCCUAUUACACCAUCCCCAUUAACACCCAAUCACAGGCAGCAUGGAAUCUCAUAUAACUACCACAUACAACUUUGC